GACGAACGCUGGCGGCGUGCCUAAUACAUGCAAGUCGAGCGAUGAAGAUUGGUGCUUGCACCAAUUUGAAGAGCAGCGCACGGGUGAGUAACGCGUGGGGAAUCUGCCUUUGAGCGGGGGACAACAUUUGGAAACGAAUGCUAAUACCGCAUAACAACUUUAAACAUAAGUUUUAAGUUUGAAAGAUGCAAUUGCAUCACUCAAAGAUGAUCCCGCGUUGUAUUAGCUAGUUGGUGAGGUAAAGGCUCACCAAGGCGAUGAUACAUAGCCGACCUGAGAGGGUGGUUGGCCACCAUGGGACUGGGAACCGGCCCAAACUCCUUCGGGAGCGAGCAGUAGGGCUACUUCGGCAAGGGACGGAAGUCUGACCGAGCAACGCCGCGUGAGUGAAGAAGGAUUUCGGAUCGUAAAACUCUGUUGGUAGGGAAGAACGUUGGUGAGAGUGGAAAGCUCAUCGAGUGACGGUAACUACCCAGAAAGGGACGGCUAACUACGUG
rnacentral:rRNA from 1 species